UGCAGUCGGACGGUAACAGGAGGGAGCUUGCUUCCUUGCUGACGAGUGGCGGACGGGUGAGUAAUGCUUGGGAAUCUGUCUUAGGGAGGGGGAUAACCACGGGAAACUGUGGCUAAUACCGCGUAUAAUCGGAAGAUGAGAGGUGUGGGAUCGAAAGACCAUAUGCCCUAAGGUGAGCCCAAAUGAGAUUAGGUAGUUGGUGGGGUAAAGGCCUACCAAGCCGACGAUCUCUAGCUGGUCUGAGACGAUGACCAGCCACACUGGGACUGAGACACGGCCCACACUCCUACGGGAGGCAGCAGUGGGGAAUAUUGCGCAAUGGGGGCAACCCUGACGCAGCCAUGCCGCGUGAAUGAACAAGGCCUUCGGGUUGUAAAGUUCUUUCAUUGGUGAGGAAGGUAAUAAUGUUAAUACUAUUAUUAAUUGACGUUACCCAAAGAAGAAGCACCGUCUAAUUCCGUGCCAGCAGCCGCGGUAAUACGGAAAGUGCCAGCGUUAAUCGGAAUAACUGGGCGUA
rnacentral:rRNA from 1 species